rfam:Streptomyces nanshensis strain SCSIO 10429 C7617, whole genome shotgun sequence.
CUUCAACGACCCCAACCACAAAGGACGCCCCGCAUCCCGACCCCGCCCAUACGUCUCCAACAACGCCUGCGCCUC